rnacentral:rRNA from 1 species
UACAGAGGGUGCAAGCGUUAAUCGGAAUUACUGGGCGUAAAGCGUGCGUAGACGGUUACAUAAGUCGGGUGUGAAAGCCCCGGGCUCAACCUGGGAAUUGCAUUCGAGACUGCGUAGUUAGGGUGCGGAAGAGGGAAGCGGAAUUUCCGGUGUAGCGGUGAAAUGCGCAGAUAUCGGGAGGAACACCAGUAGCGAAGGCGGCUCGCUGGGCCACACCUGACGCUGAGACGCGAAAGCUAGGGGAGCGAACAGG